AGUCGGCAUGAUAACUGGACGAUGGUCUCAACUACACCCACGACCCAAGUCUUUUAAGUUGCCGAUAGAUGAAAACUGCGAGGAAAUCUUACACGUUCUCGGACUCUUUACCCCAUGAAGUACAGCGUUUAAUUUCUCGCGACAUAC
rnacentral:snoRNA from 1 species